GGGUGUGAGGGCAGUCUGGCUGUGACGGCUGUCACCCCAUCAAUAUCCAGGGUUGGUGGGCUGGUCUGGCAGGCUAGGCAGGGUCCCCCUUCCUCCUCACUGCUCCCUGUGCAUCCCUCCUGAAGCUGCAUGCUCAGGCAAAGAGGACAGCCUUCCCCCAGAUGGAGACUGACCGGUUUUCUCUCUAGGGUACAAAACCGUCCAAACAAGAAUCUCACUGGUUUGCAUGAAGCGAUUGAGGAGUUAGGAGGAUUCUUUUGGUGACCCCAUAGAAAUGGUCACAUCUAGUCUCACUUGAAGACU
rnacentral:snRNA from 1 species